GACGAACUGUCCUAACGUUGUUCGGAAUCACUGGGCUUAAAGGGCGCGUAGGCGGUCCGUCAAGUCAGGGGUGAAAUCCUGCAGCUUAACUGUAGAAGUGCCUCUGAUACUGACGGUUUUGAGGGAGAUAGGGGUGUGCGGAACUUCCAGUGGAGCGGUGAAAUGCGUUGAUAUUGGAAGGAACGCCGGAGGCGAAAGCGGCGCACUGGAUCUCUUCUGACGCUGAGGCGCGAAAGCUAGGGGAGCAAACGGG
rnacentral:rRNA from 1 species